rnacentral:lncRNA from 1 species
GAAAUAUCUGGGAGCAGUGGAGAAUGUGGUGACAGCGUUUACGUAUGUGUCCCUUACUAUUGAUGUCCAAAGGUGACCAGAUUACUCACCCCUCUGCAGAUGAGCUCCAGACAUUACAUUCCAACAGGAGCCCGGAACCUGAUUUUCUUGACUUCCACUGGAUCACUGAUGGGCUCCCGGCACCUCAGGCAAUCAGAUUUCAGCAGCACUGUCUCAAAACCACAGUGAGGACAAACUCAGCUGUCAGAGUGCCAUGGCCACUUCCAUAUUUCCCAGGAGGGGUAACCUCAUCACAUCCCCAGGGAGCUGCCCUGGGAAUUCUCUGUUUGAAACAGAGCCCUGAAGUGCAAUCCCUUGGCCAUGCCAGCUUCAGGAGAAGCCAGCCUGCUCUGAUUGGAGGAGAAAUGAAAAAAAAAACUGAAACCAAAUGCAAAUUGCAAAACAUGGCAAGUUUUCCAGGAUGGAACGAGCCCAGAUGGAUUCUCCCAUUCCCUUUGCCAGAAGCAGAAGUGACUCAGAGCUUAUGUGUUUCAUGGUGGAGGCUCAGCACCCUGCAACUGCCCCAGGAACAAGCCAGGGACAAGAGAGUGAAGGCAGGUUCAAAAAUCAGACCCUUAAAGUUACAGGGGAGCAAAGAACAGACCCCAGACAUCCAAGCUGAAGGAUGUGUACAAAGCUUGUUGCUCGUUAGGAAUGUCUGCGUGUUUUUCCCAGAAAUUUUAUCUCCUUGUUUCCUUAGUAACCCCUCUUGGUAG